UUAGGGAUAUUCGUCAAUGGGGGAAACCCUGAACGAGCAAUGCCGCGUGAAUGAAGACGGUCCUAUGGAUUGUAAAAUUCUGUUGUUAGGGACGAACGACCGUAGUAGGAAAUGACUACGGAGUGACGGUACCUUUCAAGAAAGCUCCGGCUAACUACGUGCCAGCAGCCGCGGUAAUACGUAGGGAGCGAGCGUUAUCCGGAUUUAUUGGGUGUAAAGCGUGUGUAGGCGGUAAAUUAAGUCUAAGGUUUAAGCCCGGAGCUCAACUCCGGUUCGCCUUAGAAACUGAUUUUCUUGAGUAUG
rnacentral:rRNA from 1 species